rnacentral:rRNA from 1 species
GUGGGGAAUAUUGCGCAAUGGGCGAAAGCCUGACGCAGCGACGCCGCGUGCGGGAUGAAGGCCUUCGGGUUGUAAACCGCUUUCAGCAGGGACGAAGCGAAAGUGACGGUACCUGCAGAAGAAGCGCCGGCUAACUACGUGCCAGCAGCCGCGGUAACACGUAGGGCGCAAGCGUUGUCCGGAAUUAUUGGGCGUAAAGAGCUCGUAGGUGGUCCGCCGCGUCUGCUGUGAAAAUCCAGGGCUUAACCCUGGACUUGCAGUGGAUACGGGCGAACUAGAGGUAGGUAGGGGAGAAUGGAAUUCCCGGUGUAGCGGUGAAAUGCGCAGAUAUCGGGAGGAACACCGGUGGCGAAGGCGGUUCUCUGGGCCUUACCUGACACUGAGGAGCGAAAGCGUGGGGAGCGAACAGGAUUAGAAACCCCAGUAGUCC